UACGGAGGAUCCGAGCGUUAUCCGGAUUUAUUGGGUUUAAAGGGUGCGCAGGCGGGAGAUUAAGUCAGCGGUGAAAUUUUGCAGCUUAACUGUAACAGUGCCGUUGAUACUGCAUGGCUAGGAUUUGGUUGCUGUGGGUGGAAUGUGUGGUGUAGCGGUGAAAUGCUUAGAUAUCACACAGAAUAUCAAUUGCGAAGGCAGCUCACAAAGCCAAGAUUGACGCUGAGGCACGAAAGUGUGGGGAUCAAACA
rnacentral:rRNA from 1 species